GCGGCAGAUGUAGAAUAGCCAGGAUAAGUUACUCUUUACCGGCAAUUUAAAAGAAACAGCCAGUAAAGAUUAUACAACUUACGGGGAAGCAAAUUUUGUUAAUUCAUUUUCCUUCCACUGUCUUUUUCCGUAAAAAAGUGUGUGGUUAAUAAAGCAAAUACAAAAACUCAAUUUCAAGGAAGAACCCUAAUCAUCCACAAGGCCCAACUUAUUUCUCUCUCUAAUCUUGCUAUCCUCUCUCGCUAGACCUGAUUUGAAACAAUCAAUAUCUGUUGUCACAGUUCCGUCAGUCCCCCCCUUCCCGCUCGCACAAUCGUCCGCACUUUCGAGGUGCAAGAGCUAAAGAUGAUAAAGUUGCUUCUUCAGGAUAUCACUGGUGUUCAUUGUCAAGAUUUAAUAACAUAAAUCUUGAAGACUUCACUGUGAAAGUAAAGGUCAUACAGUUUGAUGCUCGAUAAUUUAGCGGGUGGAAGAUUUCAUAAUGAUGAAAAGUUGCGAAAAUCAUUUGAAGACCAUCAUUCGUCUGGAUUAGUUAUAUAAUGACAUUAGCUAUUUAGUUCAAACAAUAUAAGUUUAGUUAUUGUGACAUCAAUAUUUUUGAUUGGUGCUUCCUUUAAUUUGUUAAGAUUUAAUGAGAUAUAUUAUGUUUUUUUUAAAUUAAUAUUAAUAUAUUUUCUUAUUUGGGUCA